CCUACGGGAAGCAGCAGUAGGGAAUCUUCGGCAAUGGACGAAAGUCUGACCGAGCAACGCCGCGUGAGCGAAGAAGGCCUUCGGGUCGUAAAGCUCUGUUGUUAGAGAAGAACAUGGGUGAGAGUAACUGUUCACCCCUUGACGGUAUCUAACCAGAAAGCCACGGCUAACUACGUGCCAGCAGCCGCGGUAAUACGUAGGUGGCAAGCGUUGUCCGGAAUUAUUGGGCGUAAAGCGCGCGCAGGCGGUCUCUUAAGUCUGAUGUGAAAGCCCCCGGCUCAACCGGGGAGGGUCAUUGGAAACUGGGAGACUUGAGGACAGAAGAGGAGAGUGGAAUUCCAAGUGUAGCGGUGAAAUGCGUAGAUAUUUGGAGGAACACCAGUGGCGAAGGCGGCUCUCUGGUCUGUUACUGACGCUGAGGCGCGAAAGCGUGGGGAGCAAACAGGAUUAGAUACCCUGGUAGUCCACGCCGUAAACGAUGAGUGCUAAGUGUUAGGGGGUUUCCGCCCCUUAGUGCUGCAGUUAACGCAUUAAGCACUCCGCCUGGGAGACU
rnacentral:rRNA from 1 species